AGUCAUAGCCCAAAACAAUUGUAUUGGGAGUAAUCGAGAUUCAAAAAACCUGCCAAUCAGAGCAGAUUGUCGUCGAUGUUGGCUUUUCCAGGUGACAAUACUCGUCAGUAAAAUGAAUGCACGUGAUAACGUCAACAUUCUAACAAUAUCAUAAAACGUAUUUGUUUAAAACGUAGGAACAAAAGCUUUAAGAUUUUCCUUAUUCGUAAUAAUAUUAUCACGAGUAGAACUGUGUACACACAGCGACUAUAUUACAUAAAGGACGUUUCUUCGAGGCAAGUUAAGUUCCUCUAGAUGAUGCUUAACAAACAUUUAUUUAGUUAAAAUAAACUUCAAUGUCUUUAGGAAGUGUGAGACGUGUCGUGAAAUAACGCUAUAUAAGAAGGUGAUUCAGCAGGAAUUUGAAGAUGUAGGACCGGAAAACUAUCAUGAUAAAAUAAUAUACGAUUUUCACAAUACAACAUCUUAGGCCUGUUUUAUACGUCGCAUUUUACAUGAGCCGAAUGCAUUUAAAACAAAAGACAAUGAAGGAGUUCAUCUCAUUUUCUUUCGUCUUUAAUGCAUUCAGUUAAUAUAAAGUUCGACGUCUAAACUAGGUCUUACAAAAAUACCAGUAGGACUGGAAAGGUAUCAUGAUAAACUGAUAUACGAUUCUUACAAUAAAACGUCUUACAAAGAUACCAGA